rnacentral:rRNA from 1 species
UACGUAGGGUGCAAGCGUUGUCCGGAAUUAUUGGGCGUAAAGAGCUCGUAGGCGGUCAGUCGCGUCUGCUGUGAAAACUCGGGGCUUAACUCCGGGCCUGCAGUGGGUACGGGCUGGCUAGAGUGCGGUAGGGGAGACUGGAAUUCCUGGUGUAGCGGUGAAAUGCGCAGAUAUCAGGAGGAACACCGGUGGCGAAGGCGGGUCUCUGGGCCGUAACUGACGCUGAGGAGCGAAAGCGUGGGGAGCGAACAGG